CUUCGGGAGCGCAGGGAACGCUGGGAGCCGGGCGGUGACAGUCCCGAGCGUGCGAAAGCCGCCGACUCCGGAGAAAUCCCCCUCCUCCAGGGCUAAAAAGAUGUCCUCUGAUCCAUAUUCAGCCGUAUUAUUGAGGACAACAUCUUGGAGAUUAUGAUUGAGGAACAAGGUAAACUCUACACCCAGCAUGGGCCUUGAACUAACA